CCCCACAGCCAAGCUCUUCAGGAUGUUGAAAAGGCCAUCAUGGUGUUUGAGCAUACGGGGAACAUCCCAGUCACCGUCAUGGAGGCCAGCAUAUUCAGGAGGCCUUACUACGUGUCCCACUUCCUCCCCGCCCUGCUCACACCUCGAGUGCUCCCCAAAGUCCCUGACUCCCGUGUGGCGUUUAUAGAGUCUCUGAAGAGAUGGAGUCUCGCUCUGUUGCCCAGGCUGGAGUGCAAUUGCACAAUCUUGGCUCACUGCAAGCUCUGCCUCCUGGGUUGGAGCAAUUGUCCUGCCUCAGCCUCCUGAGUAGCUGGGAUUAUAGAGCAGAUAAAAUCCCCCCAUCUCUGUACUCCACCUACUGCCAGGCCUGCUCUGCUGCUGAAGAGAAGCCAGAAGAUGCAGCCCUGGGAGUGAGGGCAGAACCCAACUCUGCUGAGGAGCCCCUGGGACAGCUCACAGCU
rnacentral:lncRNA from 10 species